CUGAUGAUAUUAUUAGUAUGCAGUGCAGUUAUCCCGGAGAGGAUACGCAAUCACUUGUCCCCUGAUACUCUUGUUAUGGCUGUGCUGAGGAUUCAACUUUGACGAUAUUAUGCCUUGUGGUCAUAAUACCUGAAUUUCUGAUAAAUGGUCUCUCUCUCUCUCUCUCUCUCUCUCUCUCUAUUUUGUUUUUCUUUCUUUUCUGGCCAGGUGGCGGGAAUGUAUGUAUUAUUUCUAUUCACUCUGUACGGAGCUUGUGAACAACACCGCGGUAUGACUCACACAUCUUGGUGGGUUAUCUAAUAUCUGAGAACUGGCUGAGAGAUCUUUUGAGAACUGUUUGACAGUCAACAAAGAAGCAGCAGACCCUAUAAGCCAUU
rnacentral:sRNA from 2 species